rnacentral:rRNA from 1 species
AGCGAACGCUGGCGGCAGGCCUAACACAUGCAAGUCGAACGCACCUUCGGGUGAGUGGCGGACGGGUGAGUAACACGUGGGAACGUACCUUUUGGUUCGGAAUAACGCAGGGAAACUUGUGCUAAUACCGAAUGUGCCCUUCGGGGGAAAGAUUUAUCGCCAUUAGAGCGGCCCGCGUUAGAUUAGCUAGUUGGUGAGGU